rnacentral:rRNA from 1 species
AGAGUUUGAUCCUGGCUCAGAACGAACGCUGGCGGCGCGCCUAAUACAUGCAAGUCGAGCGAGAAGGUGUAGCAAUACACUUGUAAAGCGGCGAACGGGUGAGGAAUACAUGGGUAAUCUACCAUCGAGUGGGGAAUAACCAACCGAAAGGUUGGCUAAUACCGCGUACGCCUCCGGAUCUUCGGGUUCGGAGGGAAAGCUGCACUGUGAGUGUAGCGCUCUUUGAUGAGCUCAUGUCCUAUCAGCUUGUUGGUAGGGUAACGGCCUACCAAGGCUUUGACGGGUAGCUGGUCUGAGAGGACGAUCAGCCACACUGGCACUGCGACACGGGCCAGACUCCUACGGGAGGCAGCAGUAAGGAAUAUUGCGCAAUGGGCGAAAGCCUGACGCAGCGACGCCGCGUGGGGGAUGAAGGUCUUCGGAUUGUAAACCCCUUUCGGGAGGGAAGAUGGAACGAGCAAUCGUUCGGACGGUACCUCCAGAAGCAGCCACGGCCAACUUCGUGCCAGCAGCCGCGGUAAUACGAAGGUGGCAAGCGUUGUUCGGAUUCACUGGGCGUACAGGGUGUGUAGGCGGUUUGGUAAGCCUUCUGUUAAAGCUUCGGGCCCAACCCGGAAAGCGCAGAGGGUACUGCCAGGCUAGAGGGUGGGAGAGGAGCGCGGAAUUCCCGGUGUAGCGGUGAAAUGCGUAGAGAUCGGGAGGAAGGCCGGUGGCGAAGGCGGCGCUCUGGAACACACCUGACGCUGAGACACGAAAGCGUGGGGAGCAAACAGGAUUAGAUACCCUGGUAGUCCACGCCGUAAA